rnacentral:snRNA from 1 species
AAGACUUUUUUUAUUCAAUAAAAAAAAUCUGUUCUUAUCAGUUUAAUAUCUGAUACGUCCCCUAUCUGGGGACCAUAUAUUAAAUGGAUUUUUGGGACAGGGAGAUGGAAGAAGAGCUUGCUCUGUCCACUCCACGCAUUGACCUGGUAUUGCAGUACCUCCAGGACCGGUGCACCUCUC